rnacentral:rRNA from 1 species
ACGGGUGAGUAACGCGUGGGAAUCUACCGUGCCCUGCGGAAUAGCUCCGGGAAACUGGAAUUAAUACCGCAUACGCCCUACGGGGGAAAGAUUUAUCGGGGUAUGAUGAGCCCGCGUUGGAUUAGCUAGUUGGUGGGGUAAAGGCCUACCAAGGCGACGAUCCAUAGCUGGUCUGAGAGGAUGAUCAGCCACAUUGGGACUGAGACACGGCCCAAACUCCUACGGGAGGCAGCAGUGGGGAAUAUUGGACAAUGGGCGCAAGCCUGAUCCAGCCAUGCCGCGUGAGUGAUGAAGGCCUUAGGGUUGUAAAGCUCUUUCACCGGAGAAGAUAAUGACGGUAUCCGGAGAAGAAGCCCCGGCUAACUUCGUGCCAGCAGCCGCGGUAAUACGAAGGGGGCUAGCGUUGUUCGGAAUUACUGGGCGUAAAGCGCACGUAGGCGGAUAUUUAAGUCAGGGGUGAAAUCCCAGAGCUCAACUCUGGAACUGCCUUUGAUACUGGGUAUCUUGAGUAUGGAAGAGGUAAGUGGAAUUCCGAGUGUAGAGGUGAAAUUCAUAGA